UGCCAGCCGCCGCGGUAACACGAACCGGACAAACGUUAUUCGGAAUUAUUGGGCUUAAAGGGUGUGUAGGCGGUCAUGUAGGUGGGGUGUGAAAUCCCACGGCUCAACCGUGGAACUGCGCUCAAAACUGGGAAGCUAGAGGGAGACAGGGGUGAGCGGAACAAAUGGUGGAGCGGUGAAAUGCGUUGAUAUCAUUUGGAACACCGGUGGCGAAGGCGGCUCACAGGGUCUUUUCUGACGCUGAGGUACGAAAGCUAGGGUAGCGAACGGGAUUAGAUA
rnacentral:rRNA from 1 species